rnacentral:rRNA from 1 species
CGGUGGAAAAUGAACCAAAUGGGAUUCCUUAAGUAAUUGCGAAUGAACAAGGAAUUGCUCAGCUUGAAAAUUGGGGCCUUCGGCCUUGAAUUGUAAUUUUGAAAUGUAUUGCCAAUGGAGGCGCAGGUGCAAGCCUAUUGAAAGAAAGCGUCAAUGAGGGUGAGAUUCCUUUUUGUCAUUUGCAGUCCUCCGUGCACGGUGUAUAUUUGACGAGUCACACUCCUCGGCAUUGGAAUGCAAAGUGGGUGGUAAAUUCCAUGUAAAGGAAAAUAUAUUAUUGAGACUGAUAGCAAACAAGUACCAUGAGGGAAAUAUGAAAAGGACUUUGAAAAGAGAAUUAAAAGAGUCUGCAUUUGCUGAACAGAAAGCAAACAGAAUUGAUCUACUUGGUGAGAUUGUUGCGUCCACUUGUGGGCGCAAUGGUUCUUGCCUUGGAUGUCAGCGUCUAUUUCUGCAAAUCAUUACCCUUGCACAUGAAUGGUAAUUUGCCUGUGGGCAUUGGAAUGCAUGUGUUUGCAAUGAUUUGUGUUUUGAUACAUGUGUCUGGCGUUCGUGUGUGUGCCUUCUUGCCAACAGGGGAGGGCUCUCCUCCCUGGGCACUGCAAGCCCUUGCACAGUGUUGCUGGCAAAAUGUUUCUGCUUGACCCGUCUUGAAACACGGACCAAGGAGUCUAACAGAUGUGCAAGUUCGUGGGUGGGCAAACCUUUUUGCGCAAUGAAAGUAUUGGCUGGGAUACUUGCACCAGCAGCCGACCGAUUAGCAGACAGAGGUUUGAGUUUGAGCAUAUCUAUUAGGACCCGAAAGAUGGUGAACUAUGCCUGAACAGAACGAAUUCAGAGGAAACUCUGAUGGAGGUUCGUAUCGAUACUGACGUGCAAAUCGUUCGUCAUACUUGG